UGCAGUGGGACAGGAUGCUGUGGAGCCUGCCGAGCCACUUGAACAAGAAACAGCUGCUCUGCCUUCUUUGGCCUCUCUGGUCUCAGAGGAAUGCUCUCCUUUGGCGAGCAGAAUUGUUCAGAAACAGCUGGAGCUGCUGGGUGAGAAGAAAACCCUAUCAGCAAUUGAUUUGAAUGGGAAUAACAGACAGUUGUUGAUGGGAGGUCAAGGUUAUGCACAAACUGACUCAAUGGGAUGUCUGGACUGAACCAUAGGCAAGAAUCUCUCCUCCCAAACAGAGAGGAUUCCUGGAAGAAGCUCAUGCUGGAAUUCAGAAGGGAGUGGGCAAACCCAAGACACUGAGGCAUCAAACACACCAGAGCUGUUUGAAAGAACUGAAGAAACUAACAUCUACAAAAACCUGUCUCAGGCAAAACGUGGAGUCAGUGCCAGGUAUGCAGAAGAAUGAGUCAGUAAUAAAGAAACCUACAGCUUAUAACCAAAAUGCCUCGAGCUGUUUGCAUUAAGUUCUCUUGAAUAAACUAUGUGCUGCAUAUUUCCUGAAGAGCAUGACCAAAAACGCACUGAGAC